AUUGAACGCUGGCGGCAGGCCUAACACAUGCAAGUCGAGCGGAUGAAGGGAGCUUGCUCCUGGAUUCAGCGGCGGACGGGUGAGUAAUGCCUAGGAAUCUGCCUGGUAGUGGGGGAUAACGUCCGGAAACGGGCGCUAAUACCGCAUACGUCCUGAGGGAGAAAGUGGGGGAUCUUCGGACCCCACGCUAUCAGAUGAGCCUAGGUCGGAUUAGCUAGUUGGUGGGGUAAAGGCCUACCAGGGCGACGAUCCGUAACUGGUCUGAGAGGAUGAUCAGUCACACUGGAAGUGAGACACGGUCCAGACUCCUAAGGGAGGCAGCAGUGGGGAAAAUUGGACAAUAGGCGAGAGCCUGAUCCAGGCACGCCGCGUGUGUGAAGAAGGUCUUCGGAUUGUAAAGCGCUGUUAGUUGGGAGGAAGGGCAGUAAGUUAAUACCUUGCUGUUUUGACGUUACCAACAGAGUAAGCACCGGCUAACUUCGUG
rnacentral:rRNA from 1 species